rnacentral:rRNA from 1 species
UACAGAGGGUGCAAGCGUUAAUCGGAUUUACUGGGCGUAAAGGGCGCGUAGGUGGUUACAUAAGUGAGAUGUGAAAGCCCCGGGCUUAACCUGGGAACUGCAUCUUAUACUGUGUAGCUGGAGUGCAAUAGAGGGUAGUGGAAUUUCCGGUGUAGCGGUGAAAUGCGUAGAUAUCGGAAGGAACACCAGUGGCGAAGGCGGCUACCUGGAUUGACACUGACACUGAGGCGCGAGAGCGUGGGGAGCAAACAGG